rnacentral:misc_RNA from 1 species
AGGAAUUCGCGGCUGGCAACGGUAACGAGUGGCUCUCCUUUCUUGACGGCCUGGCCCGGCAGAACGUGCAUCUGCGUGACCGUUCCAGCGAAAGGCGCCGCGGCGACAAGGCGCGCGUUGGUUGCCGGAACGACCGUGGCCGGAAGCAGGGCGACCGCUUCGGUUUGGGCGGACUGAACUUUCUGAAGCUGAAUUUCGAGGCGAUCCACCUGCGCCUGGGUGACGGCAAGCUCUUUGGCGCCGGCGCGCGUCCCCAGAGGCAUAAGCGACAGAAGGACCACCAGA